GAUGAACGCUCGCUACAGGCUUAACACAUGCAAGUCGAGGGGAAACGGCAUUGAGUGCUUGCACUCUUUGGACGUCGACCGGCGCACGGGUGAGUAACGCGUAUCCAACCUUCCCAUUACUGUGGGAUAACCUGCCGAAAGGCAGACUAAUACCGCAUAGUCUUCGAUGACGGCAUCAGAUUUGAAGUAAAGAUUUAUCGGUAAUGGAUGGGGAUGCGUCUGAUUAGCUUGUUGGCGGGGUAACGGCCCACCAAGGCUACGAUCAGUAGGGGUUCUGAGAGGAAGGUCCCCCACAUUGGAACUGAGACACGGUCCAAACUCCUACGGGAGGCAGCAGUGAGGAAUAUUGGUCAAUGGACGGAAGUCUGAACCAGCCAAGUAGCGUGCAGGAGGACGGCCCUAUGGGUUGUAAACUGCUUUUGUAUGGGGAUAAAGUUAGGGACGUGUCCCUAUUUGCAGGUACCAUACGAAUAAGGACCGGCUAAUUCCGUG
rnacentral:rRNA from 1 species